rnacentral:rRNA from 1 species
UACGUAGGGUGCGAGCGUUAAUCGGAAUUACUGGGCGUAAAGCGUGCGCAGGCGGUUCGUUGUGUCGGUGGUGAAAGCCCCGGGCUUAACCUGGGAAUGGCCGUCGAAACUGGCGAACUGGAGUGUGGCAGAGGGGGGUGGAAUUCCGCGUGUAGCAGUGAAAUGCGUAGAGAUGCGGAGGAACACCGAUGGCGAAGGCAGCCCCCUGGGCUAGCACUGACGCUCAGGCACGAAAGCGUGGGGAGCAAACAGG